AUUGAACGCUGGCGGCAGGCCUAACACAUGCAAGUCGAGCGGAUGAAGGGAGCUUGCUCCUGGAUUCAGCGGCGGACGGGUGAGUAAUGCCUAGGAAUCUGCCUGGUAGUGGGGGAUAACGUCCGGAAACGGGCGCUAAUACCGCAUACGUCCUGAGGGAGAAAGUGGGGGAUCUUCGGACCCCACGCUAUCAGAUGAGCCUAGGUCGGAUUAGCUAGUUGGUGGGGUAAAGGCCUACCAAGGCGACGAUCCGUAACUGGUCUGAGAGGAUGAUCAGUCACACUGGAACUGAGACACGGUCCAGACUCCUACGGGAGGCAGCAGUGGGGAAUACUGGACAAUGGGCGAAAGCCUGAUCCAGCCAUGCCGCGUGUGUGAAGAAGGUCUUCGGAUUGUAAAGCACUUUAAGUUGGGAGGAAGGGCAGUAAGUUAAUACCUUGCUGUUUUGACGUUACCAACAGAAUAAGCACCGGCUAACUUCGUG
rnacentral:rRNA from 1 species